GUUGGCUAUGGAGAUAUCUGUCCAAAAGGUGCCAUCGGAAAACUGAUUGGAACUGCCUGUGCGGUUUCCGGCUUAAUUGCCAUCGCCCUGCCAGUCCCUGUUAUUGUGGCUAAU
rfam:Hypsibius dujardini strain Z151 scaffold0015, whole genome shotgun sequence.